ACACUUUCAUUAGCAGCCACAGGUACUAAAUAAUCUGCUGUUACUUUCUCAAGUUUAAAAAUGACCAUCAGCCCCUCUUCUCUAAGUAUGCAACUUUUGACGGACUGCUUGUUUUAGACUGGCAGAAAAUGUGCUUCCCCAGAGGUCCCUGCAUUCCUAAUCCAUGCCAUAAUGGAGGAACCUGUGAAAUAAGUGAAGCAUACCGAGGGGACACAUUCAUAGGCUAUGUUUGUAAAUGUCCCCGAGGAUUUAAUGGGAUUCACUGUCAGCACAACAUAAAUGAAUGCGAAGUUGAGCCUUGCAAAAAUGGUGGAAUAUGUACAGAUCUUGUUGCUAACUAUUCCUGUGAGUGCCCAGGCGAAUUUAUGGGAAGAAAUUGUCAAUACAAAUGCUCAGGCCCAUUGGGAAUUGAAGGUGGAAUUAUAUCAAACCAGCAAAUCACGGCUUCCUCUACUCACCGAGCUCUUUUUGGACUCCAAAAAUGGUAUCCCUACUAUGCACGUCUUAAUAAGAAGGGGCUUAUAAAUGCGUGGACAGCUGCAGAAAAUGACAGAUGGC
rnacentral:sRNA from 1 species